rnacentral:tmRNA from 1 species
GGGGGUGAAACGGUUUCGACGUUGAAUGUUGAAGCGCCGGAAGCGAGCCGAGGUUGCCGGAGUCCUCGUUAAAGAGCCGGUAAACACCAAUAGGUGCCGAAGAUAACUUCGCCCUGGCUGCGUAACUAAACGCAGCUCGUCUGCCCGGAGGGUUCCUGCCCCGUCGGAUCCAGACGUCGCAAUGCAGGAUGCUCCCCGCGGGAUUCCGGGACCGAGGGGCUAAGACCAACUCCGGAUAGGGCAGAGGGAAACUAGCCAUCAGAGUCCCACUGUUCCGAAAGCUUGCUGAAGGCUGCGCUCGGAGAUGCCGGCGCUGAUGAUUCAACGGACCGGGGUUCAACUCCCCGCACCUCCACUA